rnacentral:rRNA from 1 species
AUUGAACGCUGGCGGCAUGCCUUACACAUGCAAGUCGAACGGCAGCACGGGUGCUUGCACCUGGUGGCGAGUGGCGAACGGGUGAGUAAUACAUCGGAACAUGUCCUGUAGUGGGGGAUAGCCCGGCGAAAGCCGGAUUAAUACCGCAUACGAUCCACGGAUGAAAGCGGGGGACCUUCGGGCCUCGCGCUAUAGGGUUGGCCGAUGGCUGAUUAGCUCGUUGGUGGGGUAAAGGCCUACCAAGGCGACGAUCAGUAGCUGGUCUGAGAGGACGACCAGCCACACUGGGACUGAGACACGGCCCAGACUCCUACGGGAGGCAGCAGUGGGGAAUUUUGGACAAUGGGCGAAAGCCUGAUCCAGCAAUGCCGCGUGUGUGAAGAAGGCCUUCGGGUUGUAAAGCACUUUUGUCCGGAAAGAAAUCCUUGGCUCUAAUACAGUCGGGGGAUGACGGUACCGGAAGAAUAAGCACCGGCUAACUACGUG